rnacentral:rRNA from 1 species
GCAGGGGCGGCGUGCUAAUACUGCAAGUCGAGCGAAUCGAUGGGAGCUUGCUCCCUGAGAUUAGCGGCGGACGGGUGAGUAACACGUGGGCAACCUGCCUAUAAGACUGGGAUAACUUCGGGAAACCGGAGCUAAUACCGGAUACGUUCUUUUCUCGCAUGAGAGAAGAUGGAAAGACGGUUUACGCUGUCACUUAUAGAUGGGCCCGCGGCGCAUUAGCUAGUUGGUGAGGUAAUGGCUCACCAAGGCGACGAUGCGUAGCCGACCUGAGAGGGUGAUCGGCCACACUGGGACUGAGACACGGCCCAGACUCCUACGGGAGGCAGCAGUAGGGAAUCUUCCGCAAUGGACGAAAGUCUGACGGAGCAACGCCGCGUGAACGAAGAAGGCCUUCGGGUCGUAAAGUUCUGUUGUUAGGGAAGAACAAGUACCAGAGUAACUGCUGGUACCUUGACGGUACCUAACCAGAAAGCCACGGCUAACUACGUGCCAGCAGCCGCGGUAAUACGUAGGUGGCAAGCGUUGUCCGGAAUUAUUGGGCGUAAAGCGCGCGCAGGUGGUUCCUUAAGUCUGAUGUGAAAGCCCACGGCUCAACCGUGGAGGGUCAUUGGAAACUGGGGAACUUGAGUGCAGAAGAGGAAAGUGGAAUUCCAAGUGUAGCGGUGAAAUGCGUAGAGAUUUGGAGGAACACCAGUGGCGAAGGCGACUUUCUGGUCUGUAACUGACACUGAGGCGCGAAAGCGUGGGGAGCCAACAGGAUUAGAUACCCUGGUAGUCCACGCCGUAAACGAUGAGUGCUAAGUGUUAGAAGGUUUCCGGCCCUUAGUGCUGCAGCUAACGCAUUUAGCACUCCCGCCUGGGGAGUACGGCCGCCAAGCUGAAACUCAAAGGAAUGACGGGGGCCCGCACAAGCGGUUGAGCAUGUGGUUUAUUCGAAACAACGCGAGAACCUUACAAGUCUUGACAUCUCUGAACACCUAGAGUAGGGCUUUCCCCUCGGGGACAGAGUGCAGGUGGUGCUGGUUGCGUCGCUCGUGUCUGGGAUGUUGGGUAAGUCCCCAACAAGCGCACCCUUGACCUUAUUGCAGCAUCAUUUGGGCUCUUAAGGGAUGGGCGGGAAACCCGAGGGAGGGGGGGGAGAUCAAUUAUCGGCCCCUUUGACGGGGUUCCCCCGGUCCAAGGGGGGAAAGGGGGGGACCCGGGAGGGAGGAAUCCUAAACCCCUCCU